GGGGAUGUAGCUCAGUGGUAGAGCACUUGCUUAGUAUGCAUGAGGCCCUGGAUUUGACCCCA
rnacentral:tRNA from 1 species